GACGGAGGAUGCAAGUGUUAUCCGGAAUCACUGGGCGUAAAGCGUCUGUAGGUGGUUUAAUAAGUCAACUGUUAAAUCUUGAGGCUCAACUUCAAAAUCGCAGUCGAAACUAUUAGACUAGAGUAUAGUAGAGGUAAAGGGAAUUUCCAGUGGAGCGGUGAAAUGCGUAGAUAUUGGAAAGAACACCGAUGGCGAAAGCACUUUACUGGGCUAUUACUAACACUCAGAGACGAAAGCUAGGGUAGCAAAUGGGAUUAGAUACCCCAGUAGUCCUAGCCGUAAACUAUGGAUACUAGAUGUUGAACAGAUCGACCUGUGCAGUAUCAAAGCUAACGCGUUAAGUAUCCCGC
rnacentral:rRNA from 1 species